rnacentral:rRNA from 1 species
CACGUGUAGCAGUGAAANGCGUAGAGAUGUGGAGGAAUACCGAUGGCGAAGGCAGCCUCCUGGGAUAACACUGACGUUCAUGCCCGAAAGCGUGGGUAGCAAACAGGAUUAGAUACCCUGGUAGUCCACGCCCUAAACGAUGUCGAUUAGCUGUUGGGCAGCAUGACUGCUUAGUAGCGAAGCUAACGCGUGAAAUCGACCGCCUGGGGAGUACGGUCGCAAGAUUAAAACUCAAAGGAAUUGACGGGGACCCGCACAAGCGGUGGAUGAUGUGGAUUAAUUCGAUGCAACGCGAAGAACCUUACCUGGUCUUGACAUGUACGGAACCCUCCAGAGACGGAGGGGUGCCUUCGGGAGCCGUAACACAGGUGCUGCAUGGCUGUCGUCAGCUCGUGUCGUGAGAUGUUGGGUUAAGUCCCGCAACGAGCGCAACCCUUGUCAUUAGUUGCCAUCAUUAAGUUGGGCACUCUAAUGAGACUGCCGGUGACAAGCCGGAGGAAGGUGGGGAUGACGUCAAGUCCUCAUGGCCCUUAUGACCAGGGCUUCACACGUCAUACAAUGGUCGGUACAGAGGGUAGCCGAGCCGCGAGGUGGAGCCAAUCUCACAAAACCGAUCGUAGUCCGGAUUGCACUCUGCAACUCGAGUGCAUGAAGUCGGAAUCGCUAGUAAUCGCAGGUCAGCAUACUGCGGUGAAUACGUUCCCGGGUCUUGUACACACCGCCCGUCACACCAUGGGAGUGGGGGAUACCAGAAGUAGGU